CUUCGUAUUUAGUUUCUUCUUGAAAAUUAAAGAUUUUGGCGGUAUUUUAGUCUAUUCAGAGGAACCUGUUCUGUAAUUGAUAAUCCACGAUUUACUUUACUUGAUUAACUUGUAUAUCGUCGUUUUUGAACAUUUUAUGAGAAUUAUAAUGUUCAAUUUUUUGUUUAAAGUUUAAGUCAGAUCAAGGUGUAGUUUAUAUUCAAGAAGAAAUGGGUUACAAUAAAUUUAUUUAAAUGGUUUGUUAGAUGAAAUUUUAUUAAUAAAGUGGGAAAGUAAUAUUUUUAAUUAGAUAAUAUGAUUUAAGCUCUAAAAUAUG
rnacentral:rRNA from 1 species